UGCGGGGGGAGUCCUAGGGCCUUCAAGCUUGUGAAGAAGCAAUCCAUUCAUCAUACAAGUGUUCGAAACCCCUCUGCCAUUCUUCACAGUCUUCGUGAUCUUCAUUAUCUGCAUGGUCUUCGUGGUCUUCAUAAUCCUCAGAGUCUUCGAGGUCUACAGCAUCUUCGAGGACUUCAGCGUCGUCUUCACAGUGGGUUUGCAUCGUCGCUUUAUGGAUUUGGCAGUGAGGAUGCAGAAUGCGACGGUGAUCUUCUUCGCUAUGCCAUUGUUUGUCAGGAUUGUGAGGGGGGCGUCUCGAGCGAAACCCGCAUGAGAAAGCCCUCAGAGACUGCAGAAAGCGUGUGUCGGUGGCUCUUUGUGAGGCUUAUUGUUGUUGAAGGACUGGAAGAAGUGAAGCAGGGCGAGACCUGGCGCAGCGAUUGGGCUGUGCUGGCUGCUGAGCGCUUCCAGGUGGCGAUCUUGUGAGGGUCUCAUCGCUGCUUCUCUGACGAGAAUUGACUUGAGCUCCAAGGGAACCGUGUUGAGCUUUGAAGAAAUCUCGGGUCUAGGAUAUGGCUUACUUGCGAAGCAGAGUGAGAGGAAGUGGAAGAAUAGAAAGAAGAGGAGGAGAGCGGAUGGCGUGUUGAGCUGUUGGUCUUCUGUGAAAUAAAGUUAUCAGUCAUGGGUACGACUAGGCCGACAGCACACCGCGCGGUUGGAUCCUCGUUCACAUGAACCGUGUGAGUGUUUCUUCAGCUCAAAUUUGUUUGGAUCGAGUACCUGGAGAGCUUCUGCGACCAUUACCAUCAUGAUAUGUAUCUCAUGAUCGCCACUCAGGUAAACCCUAAUUGCUAUGUAAGGUUUUGAACUGCGGAGCACUUUGAUUGUACUAUGAGUUAAAAUUGCGAUGGGCCUUUUAUUGUGUCUACCACUAUAAGCUGGUAGAUCUUCCAGCUAGUUCUGGGGCUUUUGAAAUGAGAAUGUUCUCUCGCCAGGGUAUCUUUAGGUGCUGGAAAGCAACGUGCAUUCUCUGUUGUCAUAGACAGGAAAGAGCACGAUUUUCACCUUCGAUCCCACGACACUUGUAUGACUUACAAGGUUUAUUUUUACAUUGGCUACACGAAUUUUUUGUGAUGUAAAUUUCUCUUUUUACUGUAAUUUUUCUAGAGCACUUAAUGCCUCGAGACCAUGUUCUUUUCACUGUCGUAUGUGGGAGGUACAUAGAUGUCGUUGUUUCGAGUAGUUAAAUAGUUUGGGUCUCUAUGAUGUAGAAAUGGGUACAACUCACUUUCUACCUGCUCAAUGAAAAUCUUUCAUUCAUCACUUUUCCAAUAAAAUCAAUUAGUUUGAACGUCUGUGUUUCUUUUCAAAAUUUAUUGCAGUUAUACUUUUCCUUGUGUAGGAAUCAAAGAAGUUGCAAAAGCCUAAAGUGGCUGAUUGGCAUGGGCAAUUGUUAGAUAUUUUCGCAAAGGAUGCGAAGGAUCGCAAUGGUUUUGCUACACCGGCAAUGGUGUGACCUCCCCCUGGUUACUGUGCCAAAAUAAGGCUUCUUUUCUGGAUGUGGCUGAUCGAGGUUGUGGCCAUCUCACGCCAAGGAAGCACCUGAAAGGUUAUGGAGGAAUAAUUAACCAUAUAAUGAGUAUCUCACUGCGGGAUGAUGUUAUUCCAACUGCGAAACGAGCCAUGGCAGCUGGCCGCAAGUGUAUGGACCACAAUUAUCCAAAAUUAAGCAGUUGAUGGUAAAUUGGCUUAAAUUCGGUUGUCUUAGGCUGUUUCUGGCAGUGGAUGGUAAUUAGUUCCACUGGAAUGCUGUACGCUUACUUCAUGUUGACAACUAGAUUAGAUUUCAUCGGUUCUUGUGCUACUAGUUUCUGUUAAAAAAUGAGAUGCGUUCAGACUCAAAUGGAGCGAUAUGAGAAUAGAGCUGAAUUGUUUUCAUUCUAAUUAUAUCUAGUUCAAGACGAAAAGCCUUUGGAUGCCUCUGUAGGACUUCCCUACACAUUCCUGCGGUAUGCUGCUGUGCUGCCCUUGUGGUCCACUUUGCUGCCAGUAUGGAUUCGUUCCUCGCGAAGUGUCCUGCGGUCGAUUGAGGUGGAUUGGAGUAUUCAAGCGCGCAUUGCAAAAUGAAAAACCUGAGAUCAUGCCUGCAAGUUAUAAUCGUCUUCCAAGUAUUUAACUGGAACAUUCUUCUUCUUUUUUCCCUCCAACAGUCCCCUAUUUGAUGUAGACUUCGUAGAAUUUGUAUUGAAUGUCACUCCAUGUCUUUGUCAUUAGAAUGUGGAUUCCAACAGAAUUGUUACAGAUGUGUUUCAUGGUCAUAAACAUGUGUUUCUA